UGACGAGUGGCGGACGGGUGAGUAAUGCUUGGGAAUCUGGCUUAUGGAGGGGGAUAACUGUGGGAAACUGCAGCUAAUACCGCGUAUUCUCUGAGGAGGAAAGGGUGGGACCUUAGGGCCACCUGCCAUAAGAUGAGCCCAAGUGGGAUUAGGUAGUUGGUGGGGUAAAGGCCUACCAAGCCUGCGAUCUCUAGCUGGUCUGAGAGGAUGACCAGCCACACUGGAACUGAGACACGGUCCAGACUCCUACGGGAGGCAGCAGUGGGGAAUAUUGCGCAAUGGGGGGAACCCUGACGCAGCCAUGCCGCGUGAAUGAAGAAGGCCUUCGGGUUGUAAAGUUCUUUCGGUAAUGAGGAAGGGAUGUUGUUAAAUAGAUAGCAUCAUUGACGUUAAUUACAGAAGAAGCACCGGCUAACUCCGUGCCAGCAGCCGCGGUAAUACGGAGGGUGCGAGCGUUAAUCGGAAUAACUGGGCGUAAAGGGCACGCAGGCGGACUUUUAAGUGAGAUGUGAAAUCCCCGAGCUUAACUUGGGAACUGCAUUUCAGACUGGGAGUCUAGAGUACUUUAGGGAGGGGUAGAAUUCCACGUGUAGCGGUGAAAUGCGUAGAGAUGUGGAGGAAUACCGAAGGCGA
rnacentral:rRNA from 1 species